rnacentral:rRNA from 1 species
UGCCAGCCGCCGCGGUAAUACGGAGACCUCAAGCGUUACUCGGAUUCACUGGGCGUAAAGGGUGUGAAGGCGGACAGGUAUGUCAGGUGUGAAAUCUCGGGGCUCAACUCCGAAACUGCGCCUGAAACUACUUGUCUAGAGACUCGGAGGGGUAAGCGGAAUUCCAGGUGUAGCGGUGAAAUGCGUAGAUAUCUGGAGGAACACCAAAGGCGAAGGCAGCUUACUGGACGAGAUCUGACGCUAAAGCACGAAAGCGUGGGUAGCGAAAGGGAUUAGAUA